UUGUGCAUGGGAUUGCAGGUGAAUGAUGUAGAGAUCUGUUAAAUUCAUUUUAAAUCAUAUUCUGUUAAUGACAUUGUGCUGCAGCCUCAGACUGGGAUUAGUCAUUUUAAUUUCUUUUAGGAUUUCCCAGUGUGAUUGGCUGCAUAGAUGCACACACAUCCCCAUCACAGCUCCCUCACAUCAUGAACAGGAAGUCCAUUCACAGCAUAAAUGUGCAGAUCAAAUGUGAUGCUGCAUACAUCAUUUCUAAUGUGGAGGCCACGUGGUCUGGGUCUGUUCAUGACUCCAGGAUUUAUGGAGAGUCUAACCUGAGCAACAGACUGCAGCGUGGAGAGUUUGAUGGCCUUCUGCUGGGUGACAGGGGUUACCAUGCCAACCCAGGCUGAUGACCUCAUACCCUGACCCUGAACCAGGCGCCCAACAGAACUUUAGCCGGGCUCACUGCAGGACCAGAGCCCGGGUGGAGAUGACCAUAGGCCUGCUGAAAGCCCGUUUCCAGAGCCUACGUCUCCUCAGGGUGACCCCUGAGAGGGCCUGUGAUAUUACUGUGGCAUGUGUUGUUCUUCAUAAUAUUACCACUAUUAGAGGAGAGAAACACCCUGCCCUACAAACUGAAGACCCAGAUGAUGAGCCCAUCCACCUGCAGC